rnacentral:rRNA from 1 species
UACGGGGGGGGUAAGCGUUGUUCGGAAUUACUGGGCGUAAAGGGCUCGUAGGCGGCCAACUAAGUCGAACGUGAAAUCCCCGGGCUCAACCCGGGAACUGCGUCCGAUACUGGAAGGCUUGAAUCCGGGAGAGGGAUGCGGAAUUCCAGGUGUAGCGGUGAAAUGCGCAGAUAUCAGGAGGAACACCAACGGCGAAGGCAGCACUCUGGGCCGGUACUGACGCUGAGGAGCGAAAGCGUGGGGAGCGAACAGG